rnacentral:rRNA from 1 species
GGAGGAUGCGAGCGUUAUCCGGAUUUAUUGGGUUUAAAGGGAGCGCAGACGGGUCGUUAAGUCAGCUGUGAAAGUUUGGGGCUCAACCUUAAAAUUGCAGUUGAAACUGGAGAUCUUGAGUACGGUUGAGGCAGGCGGAAUUCGUGGUGUAGCGGUGAAAUGCUUAGAUAUCACGAAGAACCCCGAUUGCGAAGGCAGCCUGCUAAGCCGCCACUGACGUUGAGGCUCGAAAGUGCGGGUAUCAAACAGGAUUAGAUACCCUGGUAGUCCGCACGGUAAACGAUGGACACCCGCCGUGGGCGACAUGCGGUCCGCGGCCAAGCGAAAGCGUUAAGUAUUCCACCUGGGGAGU